GACGAACGCUGGCGGCGUGCUUAACACAUGCAAGUCGAACGGUGAAGCGCCUUCCUUUUUGGUGGGUGUGGAUGAGUGGCGAACGGGUGAGUAACACGUGAGUAACCUGCCCCCUUCUUCUGGAUAACCGCAUGAAAGUGUGGCUAAUACGGGAUAUUCUGGGUCUGUCGCAUGAUGGGUCUGGGAAAGAUAUUGUUUCGGUGGGGGGUGGGCUCGCGGCCUAUCAGCUUGUUGGUGGGGUGAUGGCCUACCAAGGCGGUGACGGGUAGCCGGCCUGGGAGGGUGGACGGUCACACUGGGACUGAGACACGGCCAAGACUCCUACGGGAGGCAGCAGUGGGGAAUAGUGCACAAUGGGCGCAAGCCUGAUGCAGCGACGCCGCGGGAGGGAUGGAGGCCUUCGGGUUGUGAACCUCUUUCGCCAGUGAAGCAGGCCUGCCUCGUAUGUGGGUGGGUUGACGGUAGCGGGAGAAGAAGAGCCGGCUAACUACGUG
rnacentral:rRNA from 1 species